rnacentral:lncRNA from 1 species
GUCAAAAAAAACUAGUACAGAAAAGGCGGAAGAAUUAGCAUACAAAAAGUUCUGUUUCUAACAAACAUGCAAUUAUACGUGAUUCACCUACAAAUAAUCUUGCCUAAAAUCUAGCAUGUGUCAAUUUCAUGCACAAAGCUUAUUAGAGUAAACAAAUGCAUUAAAUCAAGAAAAACUUGCUCUGCAUUUUAUGUCACAGUUCUGCUUCUUAGCUGAACACCAUAACAAUUUACAAUCCUGACUAAAACUUCACCUGAUGUUCAAUACAACACCACGUGUUAUGGAAAGAGCUUUUGGGUCCGCGUGGAAAUGAAUUCUCAGAAACUGGAAAACUAAAUUGUUGAAAUGGCAAUUCAAUCUACUGAGAAGACUACUAGAAGACAGAUAAAUUCAAUGAAAAAUUAUAUCUAGAGAAUCCAAUCUACUGCACGUCAGUCCCAUACAACACAAUACCCUCAACUAUUAGAUUCAUCGAUGCUGUAAACACACAAUAAAUGAGUUUAUUUACAGCAUCACAAAGACACAAAUCCCAAAACACAUAAUUCCAAUCUACUGCACGUCAGUCCCAUACAACACAAUACCCUCAACUAUUAGAUUCAUUGAUGCUGUAAACACACAAUAAAUAAGUUUAUUUACAGCAUCACAAAGACACAAAUCCCAAAACACAUAAUUCCACCUUUCCCUUUAGACCAGGUUUAGCUCAGUUCAUACAUUAAAAGAAAGCACACCACAAUUUAAGAACUUCCAACCCCUGAAUUAAACUAAAGAAGUUUCUACUGAAAAUACCU